GGGGGACCAUCCUCCAAGGCUAAAUACUCCUGACUGACCGAUAGUGAACCAGUACCGUGAGGGAAAGGCGAAAAGAACCCCGGCGAGGGGAGUGAAAAAGAACCUGAAACCGUGUACGUACAAGCAGUGGGAGCCUCUUAAUGGGGUGACUGCGUACCUUUUGUAUAAUGGGUCAGCGACUUAUAUUCUGUAGCAAGGUUAACCGAAUAGGGGAGCCGAAGGGAAACCGAGUCUUAACUGGGCGUUAAGUUGCAGGGUAUAGACCCGAAACCCGGUGAUCUAGCCAUGGGCAGGUUGAAGGUUGGGUAACACUAACUGGAGGACCGAACCGACUAAUGUUGAAAAAUUAGCGGAUGACUUGUGGCUGGGGGUGAAAGGCCAAUCAAACCGGGAGAUAGCUGGUUCUCCCCGAAAGCUAUUUAGGUAGCGCCUCGUGAAUUCAUCUCCGGGGGUAGAGCACUGUUUCGGCAAGGGGGUCAUCCCGACUUACCAACCCGAUGCAAACUGCGAAUACCGGAGAAUGUUAUCACGGGAGACACACGGCGGGUGCUAACGUCCGUCGUGAAGAGGGAAACAACCCAGACCGCCAGCUAAGGUCCCAAAGUCAUGGUUAAGUGGGAAACGAUGUGGGAAGGCCCAGACAGCCAGGAUGUUGGCUUAGAAGCAGCCAUCAUUUAAAGAAAGCGUAAUAGCUCACUGGUCGAGUCGGCCUGCGCGGAAGAUGUAACGGGGCUAAACCAUG
rnacentral:rRNA from 1 species